UACGAAGGUGGCUAGCGUUGCUCGGAAUCACUGGGCGUAAAGCGCACGUAGGCGGCUUUUUAAGUCAGGGGUGAAAUCCUGGAGCUCAACUCCAGAACUGCCUUUGAUACUGAGAAGCUUGAGUCCGGGAGAGGUGAGUGGAACUGCGAGUGUAGAGGUGAAAUUCGUAGAUAUUCGCAAGAACACCAGUGGCGAAGGCGGCUCACUGGCCCGGUACUGACGCUGAGGUGCGAAAGCGUGGGGAGCAAACAGG
rnacentral:rRNA from 1 species